rnacentral:rRNA from 1 species
UACGUAGGGUGCAAGCGUUGUCCGGAAUUAUUGGGCGUAAAGAGCUCGUAGGCGGUCUGUCGCGUCGGCUGUGAAAUCCCGAGGCUCAACCUCGGGUCUGCAGUCGAUACAGGCAAACUAGAGUAUUGCAGGGGAGACUGGAAUUCCUGGUGUAGCGGUGAAAUGCGCAGAUAUCAGGAGGAACACCGGUGGCGAAGGCGGGUCUCUGGGCAAUAACUGACGCUGAGGAGCGAAAGCGUGGGGAGCGAACAGG